GACCAGCCAGCAUGGGAAAACUAGGC
rnacentral:piRNA from 1 species